rnacentral:rRNA from 1 species
CCUGACGCAGCCAUGCCGCGUGAAUGAUGAAGGUCUUAGGAUUGUAAAAUUCUUUCACCGGGGACGAUAAUGACGGUACCCGGAGAAGAAGCCCCGGCUAACUUCGUGCCAGCAGCCGCGGUAAUACGAAGGGGGCUAGCGUUGCUCGGAAUUACUGGGCGUAAAGGGAGCGUAGGCGGACAUUUAAGUCAGGGGUGAAAUCCCGGGGCUCAACCUCGGAAUUGCCUUUGAUACUGGGUGUCUUGAGUAU